AUUGAACGCUGGCGGCAUGCUUUACACAUGCAAGUCGAGCGGCAGCGCGGGGGCAACCCUGGCGGCGAGCGGCGAACGGGUGAGGAAUACAUCGGAACGUACCCCGGAGUGGGGGAUAACGCCGCGAAAGCGGCGCUAAUACCGCAUAUGCUCUGAGGAGGAAAGUGGGGGACCUGCAAGGGCCUCACGCUCUGGGAGCGGCCGAUGUCCGAUUAGCUAGUUGGUGGGGUAAAGGCCCACCAAGGCGACGAUCGGUAGCUGGUCUGAGAGGAUGAUCAGCCACACUGGGACUGAGACACGGCCCAGACUCCUACGGGAGGCAGCAGUGGGGAAUUUUGGGACAAUGGGGGCAACCCUGAUCCAGCCAUGCCGCGUGC
rnacentral:rRNA from 1 species